rnacentral:lncRNA from 1 species
AGAAGUUAAACUUCUUUCCAGGGAAGAAGGGCGGGGAUGUCAGGGCUGGAGAGUGCCCGUGUCCUUCUGUGUGCAUUGGGCUCCUUCCUCCUUAAUUCUCUGCUUUCCACUUUUAGGCUGAACUCCAGUGCACCCAGUUAGACUUGGAGCGGAAACUCAAGUUGAAUGAAAAUGCCAUCUCCAGGCUCCAGGCUAACCAAAAGUCUGUUCUGGUGUCGGUGUCAGAGGUCAAAGCAGUGGCUGAAAUGCAGUUUGGGGAACUCCUUGCUGCUGUGAGGAAGGCCCAGGCCAAUGUGAUGCUCUUCUUAGAGGAGAAGGAGCAAGCUGCGCUGAGCCAGGCCAACGGUAUCAAGGCCCACCUGGAGUACAGGAGUGCCGAGAUGGAGAAGAGUAAGCAGGAGCUGGAGACGAUGGCGGCCAUCAGCAACACUGUCCAGUUCUUGGAGAGGAGUAUGACAUCAGAACUCAAGUGUCUGCCAUUGUUCAGCGCAAAUAUUGGACUUCCAAACCUGAGCCCAGCACCAGGGAACAGUUCCUCCAAUAUGUGCAUGACAUCACGUUCGACCCGGACACAGCACACAAGUAUCU